AGAGUUUGAUCCUGGCUCAGGAUGAACGCUGGCGGCGUGCUUAACACAUGCAAGUCGAACGGGAAACCUUUUAUUGAAGCUUCGGCGGAUUUAGCUGGUUUCUAGUGGCGGACGGGUGAGUAACGCGUGGGUAACCUGCCUUAUACAGGGGGGUAACAGUCAGAAAUGGCUGCUAAUACCGCAUAAGCGCACAGAGCUGCAUGGCUCAGUGUGAAAAACUCCGGUGGUAUAAGAUGGACCCGCGUUGGAUUAGCUAGUUGGUGGGGUAACGGCCCACCAAGGCGACGAUCCAUAGCCGGCCUGAGAGGUUGAACGGCCACAUUGGGACUGAGACACGGCCCAGACUCUUACGGGAGGCAGCAGUGGGGAAUAUUGCACAAUGGGGGAAACCCUGAUGCAGCGACGCCGCGUGGAGGAAGAAGGUCUUCGGAUUGUAAACUCCUGUUGUUGAGGAAGAUAAUGACGGUACUCAACAAGGAAGUGACGGCUAACUACGUGCCAGCAGCCGCGGUAAAACGUAGGUCACAAGCGUUGUCCGGAAUUACUGGGUGUAAAGGGAGCGCAGGCGGGCGAUCAAGUUGGAAGUGAAAUCCAUGGGCUCAACCCAUGAACUGCUUUCAAAACUGGUCGUCUUGAGUAGUGCAGAGGUAGGCGGAAUUCCCGGUGUAGCGGUGGAAUGCGUAGAUAUCGGGGAGGAACACCAGUGGCGAAGGCGGCCCUACUGGGCACCAACGGACAAUGAAGGCUGGAAAGUGUGGGUAGCAAACAGGAUAAGAUACCCUGGGUAGUCCACCCCGGUAAACGAUGAUUAAUAGGUGUUGGGAGAUUGAACCCUCUCAAGUGCCGCAGUUAACACAAUAAGUAAUCCACCUGGGGAGUACGACCGCAAGGUUGAAACUCAAAGGAAUUGACGGGGGCCCGCACAAGCAGUGGAGUAUGUGGUUUAAUUCGACGCAACGCGAAGAACCUUACCAAGUCUUGACACCCCUUGACGAUGCUGGAAACAGUAUUUCUCUUCGGAGCAAGGAGACAGGUGGUGCAUGGUUGUCGUCAGCUCGUGUCGUGAGAUGUUGGGUUAAGUCCCGCAACGAGCGCAACCCUUAUGGUCAGUUACUACGCAAGAGGACUCUGGCCAGACUGCCGUUGACAAAACGGAGGAAGGUGGGGAUGACGUCAAAUCAUCAUGCCCCUUAUGACUUGGGCUACACACGUGCUACAAUGGCGUAAACAAAGGGAAGCGAACCUGCGAGGGUGGGCAAAUCCCAAAAAUAACGUCCCAGUUCGGACUGUAGUCUGCAACCCGACUACACGAAGCUGGAAUCGCUAGUAAUCGCGGAUCAGAAUGCCGCGGUGAAUACGUUCCCGGGUCUUGCACUCACCGCCCGUCA
rnacentral:rRNA from 1 species